rnacentral:rRNA from 1 species
CAUUAUACGGCGAAACUGCGAAUGGCUCAUUAUAUAAGUUAUCGUUUAUUUGAUAGCACCUUACUACUUGGAUAACCGUGGUAAUUCUAGAGCUAAUACAUGCUAAAAAUCCCGACUUCGGAAGGGAUGUAUUUAUUAGAUUAAAAACCAAUGCCCUCUGGGCUCUCUGGUGAUUCAUGAUAACUUCUCGAAUCGCAUGGCCUUGCGCCGGCGAUGGUUCAUUCAAAUUUCUUCCCUAUCAACUUUCGAUGUUUGGGUAGUGGCCAAACAUGGUUGCAACGGGUAACGGAGGGUUAGGGCUCGACCCCGGAGAAGGAGCCUGAGAAACGGCUACUACAUCCAAGGAAGGCAGCAGGCGCGCAAAUUACCCAAUCCCGACACGGGGAGGUAGUGACAAUAAAUACUGAUACAGGGCUCUUUUGGGUCUUGUAAUUGGAAUGAGUACAAUUUAAAUCCCUUAACGAGGAACAAUUGGAGGGCAAGUCUGGUGCCAGCAGCCGCGGUAAUUCCAGCUCCAAUAGCGUAUAUUAAAGUUGUUGUGGUUAAAAAGCUCGUAGUUGAACCUUGGGCCUGGCUGGCCGGUCCGCCUCACCGCGUGCACUGGUCCGGCCGGGCCUUUCCCUCUGUGGAACCCCAUGCCCUUCACUGGGUGUGGCGGGGAAACAGGACUUUUACUUUGAAAAAAUUAGAGUGCUCCAGGCAGGCCUAUGCUCGAAUACAUUAGCAUGGAAUAAUGAAAUAGGACGUGCGGUUCUAUUUUGUUGGUUUCUAGGACCGCCGUAAUGAUUAAUAGGGACAGUCGGGGGCAUCAGUAUUCAAUUGUCAGAGGUGAAAUUCUUGGAUUUAUUGAAGACUAACUACUGCGAAAGCAUUUGCCAAGGAUGUUUUCAUUAAUCAGGAACGAAAGUUAGGGGAUCGAAGACGAUCAGAUACCGUCGUAGUCUUAACCAUAAACUAUGCCGACUAGGGAUCGGACGAUGUUAUUUUUUGACUCGUUCGGCACCUUACG